rnacentral:rRNA from 1 species
UACGUAGGGGGGCAAGCGUUGUUCGGAAUUACUGGGCGUAAAGGGCCAGUAGGCGGCCAACUAAGUCCGACGUGAAAUCCCCAGGCUUAACCUGGGAACUGCGUCGGAUACUGGAUGGCUUGAAUUCGGGAGAGGGAUGCAGAAUUCCAGGUGUAGCGGUGAAAUGCGUAGAUAUCUGGAGGAACACCGGUGGCGAAGGCGGCAUCCUGGACCAACACUGACACUGAGGAGCGAAAGCCAGGGGAGCAAACGGG